AGACACCAGUUCUGAAUGUUAGACAUGAAGAUGAAUCUUCAGGUGUCAAUUCAAUCUUUUUAAUUCUAUUCAUUCUUUUGGGUGACUGUUUGCAGAUACCUCCAAGAAAAAAUAAGGCAUACAAAGCUUAACAUUUAGAGCAACAUCCAAGGAGAAGCUGCCUCCUGCUUGACAUCUCCCUGACAGCACCAAUAAAUCUUCAAAAAGAGAAAUGGGUUUUCUACAGAAGAGAAGUAGUACCAAGAGGAGCAACAGGACUGAUUCCAGGUGAAAUCCAACAGCUGCUUUCCAGCACCUUCUUUGUCUCCCCCUAACAUUUUCCUGUCUGUGUGCCCUUUCAUGAGCUGUGUGCCAGGACUCAGCUCCAGCUCAUCUGCCUACUCGUAUGCAGAGCUGGACUUCACGUGCACAGGAGAUGAUGUGGCUGAGGAUGAUGUGGCUGAGGAGGGCCAUCCGGGAGGGACAGCCAGACAGACUGAAGUUCAGUGGUGUCCUGCAUCUUCCCUUUGUACAAAAUAACCUCUGUGUGGCAGAUUUGCCAGUGAAGUCCUGGCAAGUUUGCUUCCAAGGCAAAAAUCCUGCAGAUUUAUGGAAAACCUCCUUUUUCUCUAAUGUAGAAGCUUCAAGAAAUCAGGUUCAAUACUAAAACAGGCAAAUGAGCAAAGACAAAACCAUAUUCACACCAACCCCACAUCCCUCCAGGAUCCCCACCUGGGCCAUCCCUCCCCUUUGCAUCCAAACCAUGCCUGGUAGAGAUGCUGUGGAGAAGCUCAGUGGGAAAACUCACUUUGGACAGGAUACCCACUUCUUUACAAUGUUAACUUCUCUCUCCAUUUUCAUUUUCAUUUCCUCAUGUUAUUUUUUCUUGUUCCUUGUCUCCCAGGAUCUCUCCCAUGUAAAUUCCUCACCCCUAGACCCACCUUUUCUCUCCCUUUCCCCACUGACAUACAGCAACCCCAAGAAGCAGCCCAUAUUCCUUGCAGGCACUCAAAAAUCACCAAAUCCUUUGCAGCCUCUGAAGUCACUCUUGGAUAGACAUAGCUCUUAAAUCUCUCAGGUCCCACCUCUCCUGCACAGGUGUUCCUGCAGCAGCCAGGCUGCACCCUGGUGGUCUGUGGUUACAGGGAUUUUCCUCAGCAGAGGUAGGAAACGUUAUGAAAAGAUUUCCAGUGCUUUUGCUUCCUCCCAGAUGACAGGCACUGAUGUGUAGGAAUUAGCUGAAGUACAGCAGAACAGUCACGAGUAGUUAUGCUUCCUUCAUUAAUUAUAAAACCUCAUUUCUUACACAGCAAGAAUAAAGAUGGAGGGAAGCUUCCAGUAAAUGCCUAAAUAAUUUCAACUCUUAUUUGAAUAAAAGCCUUUCUCUCAGCAGCAUCACAGAUGCUUUUAUUUGGGACUUUUUCAAGCAUUGUUUCUGUCAGAAAGAAACAAUUCUGUUGGAUUGUCAACCCAAUCUGUUGCCCUCUUAACUAUGAACUAAUUAUUAGAGCUUAAUCUCUUUUCUCUACAUCUUUCCGUGCUCUGUUUUUUUUUUUUUUUUUCCUGUCUUGCAACUUGCCAAAGUUCACCAAAAUUUACUAUGAACCAAGUGCAGGAAUUAGGUUUAUGGGCCUGAUAGAAUUUGGACUUCCCACUUACUGCAGAGGUAACACAAAAGGUAUUUUGAUUUGCAGCAUCUUGGAAGUUCUUGUCAACUUUCCCCAGAGCCCUUCUGCUGAUUUUAAAACAAAACUCACCAUUAGUAGAAAAUCUGCCUCCCACUUCCCUGCUGGAGCGAGACUGUGCUUCAGAGAAGGAUGAAAAUGCAGAAACAGCCUGUCUCACACUUACAGGCUUCCUAACAGCCAAAUUCUGUGCUCUUCCUAAACAGGCCAGCCCAAAAAGAGAAGGUACAGAGGAGAGAUUCACCAAGUUCCAGCAGUCAGUGCUGCCCAUAACACAUGCUGCUGUAGGACCCACAGAGAGCUGUACAGGGGCCCUCUUACAGGCCCCUAUCAUGUCUGAUGUUGUGGGUGGAAAUAUAAUCCCACAGAACCUCCACAAAUGUCUGCAAAAAGCUCUGUUACUACAGACUUUGAGUCAAUCACUGUAAAUUCCAUUCUAAAAUAAAUGACAAGUUACACUGACUUGUUUGCCUUAACUACAGAUAGGCUUGCCAAUAUAUGUUGUU